AAAACAACAGUUAAGUUUUGUGAAAUCAAGGUGGCAUUGUAAUUUUGUUGAACCCCUAAAGUGUAGUUUUUGCUAAAAUCAGUGUUACACUGUGAUUUUGCCAACUUAUUGUCAAUCAAGACAUGCACCAGAGCUAGUGAACGUCAUUGUUUAUGAUCCCUCUAUCAGAGCAUAGUUUGGCUGUAAUUAUAUGGUUUAUUACCUUCAAUCGGGUAAACCAAAGGAAACAUAUAGUGAAAGUGAAUGAGAACAAAUCUUUGCACAAGUGGUCUUGAAAAUUGUACAAUAUAGUCUACCCUCGUGUUGAUUCGCAUACUAUAUUUUACUGAAAUUUGUUGGAAAUGAUGAAA
rnacentral:lncRNA from 1 species